rnacentral:lncRNA from 1 species
CAAGCUUCAAAACUCUCUGAGGACAGCUUUCCCCUUUGUGUCUGUCGGGUCCCAGGCAGUCACAUCCCAGGAAGUGCUGGGGUUGGGCUCCUUGCUCCACAUCCUUCUUCAGUGGCACGAAGCGUGGGGUGGAGUGUGUGAGUCAUGUGUGAUCUUGGUGUGGGCUAUGGCUGGUCUGCAGCACCCCUUCAAUGACUGCUUCAAGGGCUUUUCAUGAUGCUUGUAGCUCAUGAGCUAGUGUUUCCUAGAUGCUGUUUCCAGGUGUCUUGCAUGUCACACACUGGCCUACCAGGGCUGGAGUGAGAUCAUGAGCGCCAGAUUGUUGGUGAAGGAAGUUGACAGAGACAUCGAAUGUCGGUGAACAGGAGUGACCUUGGGUCUCAAUAAAUACUGUGGUCAACUGAAUCCAGAACCCACCCUUACCAGCAGGGCCCACUUCUUCCCCAGCAGGCCGAGCUCUUCCCCUCCUGUCUUCCCUGGCCCUUGCUUUGUAGCUCUGUGUGGCUGUGUCAUGUCUGGUUGUAUCUGUAUAUACUUCUGCCUCUCCCGCUAUCUAGAUGGCUCGGGGAGGCACACCACACACCAGGUCACCUUCCUCUCUGAACCCCCAGCACCUCAUACUGUUUCUGUGCAGAGAUAAGGCUGGGUGAAAGCUUGUGUGAAUGAUCUGAAGUCUUCUACUCUAGGCCAGUCUCCAGGAGCAUUAUGAUCUUUAGGAGGGUGGGCUUGGUUCCUCUGUACAAUAAUGGGUCAUAAAACUGAGUGGUCAAGAUCAUCCCGGUGAGGGCAGUCCGUGUGUUGCCAUAGUUGCUGUACCGGUUAAGAAUGCACCUGGCUGCAAUUUCCUGAAAACCUGACGUAUAGUGGCUUAAACAAAGAGUGGUUUAUUUUCCUUCUGUCAUAGCAAUCUGGGGGAGGCCACUGUGGCUUUGGCGCAGGAGGUCGGGAAAGGCCCGCUUCUCUGAUAUCAUUGGGGGCCUCCCCAGUGCUUGUGUGGCAGAAUGACAAGAGGAAGAAGAAGGAGAAUUAUGGCACUGAGUAUCAUGAGAUUUGGGGUCAUAUAUCUUUAGUGGGCGGUGUUUGCUGCCCCAAAUGUCUCAUGCCAUUAAAAUGUUCUGGAAAUGAUUUAGGUAGUUGGAGUUUCCUUCCCAAAGACAAGGCAUUUACAGCAUGAUGUCCAAUAUCCAUUGAGUUUGUGUCAUGCAUUCAUUGUAUUCAUAGUCUGCUUUAGGUACUUAGCAAAAUAUUGCUGAUAUUAACAUGCCUUUGUUUGCUUCACUGGAGAUGAAAUUGUGCUCCAAGUGUUUUCCAAGGUUCCGUAUGACCCAUCAUUUGAUGAAACAAGAACAGCAGUCAGAUCCAUUACAAAGAGAGACACACAAAAAAGCAAGUAUAUGUCGUUAACCUGACAUGUGUACAUACCUCUACAGACCUCUGUGUUAUCUCAAAUAUGCGAUGCUAGCAUUUUAGCAUUCCUUAAAUUAACUACUGUGGUGGAGGGGGUGCAAAGCCAAACUGAGAUGUGAAGAACUCUCUGAAAUCCCCUCUACAGUCUUCCUCCCAAUAUGGGAGUCUAUAGGCUUCAGUGUGAAUAUCCCUGUAUUUUGGGGUGAUCCCUGACGUGCAGUGUCAGGCAUGUUCUGCCACUCUGGAGGCUGUGCAGAGGACAGAAACCCGGUUUGCAAGUGGGGUUCACUGUUCCUUGUAACAGGAGCUAUGAGAAGUGUAAUCACUUUCUGUUCACCAGCGCUUUAUAGGUCACUGCCCAGGAGUGCCCAAGUCACCGGCUUGGGAGAGUAAUGUCUUCCUGCGUCCCUCCCUGUCACCUCUGCCAUCAUUCCACCUCAUCCUCUGUAAAAUAUUUGCCCAGAGAAGCAGAGCUGAUUUCUCUUCCAGCACUGAUGCUCCAGUGCCAAUGCUGAGAGGAAGCAGCUGGCCACAUAUGCAAAAAUAAUGCAUAUUAACCCCAAAUCACAUGAAGAAAAGAGAAACCUUGUAAGGUGGACAUCAUGUGAAUUAGGAAGAAAAGUAACAAUGAGUAAUUAGUUAUCAGAAUAAGCCAGCUAUGUGUGCCAGGAAUUAUAAGACUCUCAGUAAAGCAAUUUAGUAACUAAUCACUCUGCCAAUGCAUUCCAUAAGCCAUUGAGAAAACAUAUGAAUAUUUCACUGCAUAAUCUCAAUAGCUUGCCCUGCACCAUGUUUUAUGAUGCUCCCUUGGCAGAUACAUUUUGAGGAACACAUUUUUAGCAAAGUGCUUGCAUGAUUAAGUAUGUCUAUUCUUAAUGAUUUAUCAGUGUCUUAUUAACAGAGAACUGUGCAUUGUCAUUUAUUGGAUCAAAGUGGUUGUACUUGAAAUCAUUUGCCAUACACCAUGUAGGCCUUUCUACCCGUUUUCCUGUAGCAUUAAACCUGCCAUGUGCACAAAUCUCUCAAUGCUUAUGCAUAUUGUCUGUCAACAGACUAUGUGAAAAUGAGCUUAGCCCCUGGUGUUGUGUUGGAACUUCAGAUGCUUGCAGACACUUCAUGAAUGCUCUGUGACACUCAGAAUAGGCUAUUCCCAACAGAAGAGCUUGAACAAUGCUGCAUUUGCAUCAGGUUCAAAUGAGCGAGAGGAACAUUUGGCUAAAAUAUUUGGAACCAGCAUUGCUUGGAAUUCUCCUAAACCAGAAUAUUUCCUUGGC